UUAAACCUCUUCCAGAGUAUCAAUUGGAGGGCAAGUCUGGUGCCAGCAGCCGCGGUAAUUCCAGCUCCAAUAGCGUAUAUUAAAAUUGUUGCAGUUAAAAAGCUCGUAGUUGAAUUUCUGCUGCAUUACAUAUCUCUUGUUUGAGUUUGUUUUUGUGGCUUAUUUCGGUUUGAUUUUUUCUUUCCGGAUGAUUACUUUGAGAAAAUUAGAGUGCUCAAAGCAGGCUUUUGCCUUGAAUAGUUUAGCAUGGAAUAAUAAAGUAGGACUUUGGUUCUAUUUUGUUGGUUUUAGGUACCAAAGUAAUGGUUAAUAGGAACAGUUGGGGGCAUUCGUAU
rnacentral:rRNA from 1 species